rnacentral:rRNA from 1 species
GAUGAACGCUGGCGGCGUGCCUAAUACAUGCAAGUCGAGCGAACGGACGAGAAGCUUUUUUCUCUGAUGUUAGCGGCGGACGGGUGAGUAACACGUGGAUAACCUACUUAUAUGACUUGGAUAACUUCGGGAAACCGUAUCUAAUACCGGAUAAUAUUUUGAACCGCAUGGUUCAAAAGUGAAAGACGGUCUUGCUGUCUCUUUUAGAUGUAUCCGCGCUGUAUUAGCUAGUUGGUAAGGUAACGGCUUACCAAGGCAACGAUGCAUAGCCGACCUGAGAGGGUGAUCGGCCACACUGGAACUGAGACACGGUCCAGACUCCUACGGGAGGCAGCAGUAGGGAAUCUUCCGCAAUGGGCGAAAGCCUGACGGAGCAACGCCGCGUGAGUGAUGAAGGUCUUCGGAUCGUAAAACUCUGUUAUUAGGGAAGAACAUAUGUGUAAGUAACUGUGCACAUCUUGACGGUACCUAAUCAGAAAGCCACGGCUAACUACGUG